CAGCAGCCGCGGUAAUACGUAGGGUGCAAGCGUUAAUCGGAAUUACUGGGCGUAAAGCGUGCGCAGGCGGUUAUAUAAGACAGAUGUGAAAUCCCCGGGCUCAACCUGGGAACUGCAUUUGUGACUGUAUAGCUAGAGUACGGCAGAGGGGGAUGGAAUUCCGCGUGUAGCAGUGAAAUGCGUAGAUAUGCGGAGGAACACCGAUGGCGAAGGCAAUCCCCUGGGCCUGUACUGACGCUCAUGCACGAAAGCGUGGGGAGCAAACAGGAUUAGAUACUCGUGUAGUCCCUGUCUCUUAUAC
rnacentral:rRNA from 1 species